rnacentral:lncRNA from 1 species
GAAGAGAAUAUCUACCCAUAACCUUCAAGUCGGUAUCCUCGUCUAAUCCACUAUAGCCUCCUAUCUGAACUAUUCAAUAGCCUAAUUGGUUUCUCUGGUUCUUCUCUUGCUAUUCUACAAUGUACUGUCCAUUCAGCAGUCAGGAUGAAUCCCUUAAAUGUGAAUCCAAUGUUUCUUACCUGCUCAAAACACUCCAGUGUCUUCUCAUCACACUCAGAAUAAAACUAAAAUUCCCUACAUGGCCGACUAGGUCAAGUAUAAUAUAUCCUCUAACUGUAUCACUCUGACUGUAUCACUUGAAACUCUCCUGCUCUCCUAUUCAGCUCUAGCCAUACUCAUUGUAUUUCUGCUUCUGGAAAUACCUCAUGUCUUUAUCAGAGGCUUUGUACUCACUACUUCCUCUGCCUAGAAUAUUUCCCUCUUCAGAUAGCUUUAUAUGCUCCGUCCAUUCAAUCAUAUAAACAGUGAAAUGCCAGCUCCUCUAAAGGGCUCUUCCUCAGCAACCAAUCUAAAAUAGUCUCCUUAAAUUGCUUACACUAUUCUGUGUAGACCUUUCCCUCACUUCGUCUUCAUAGCAUUUACGGCUACAUUAGAAAUGUGUUAAUGUUGUUCUCUCUCUCAAAAGUGUAAGCUCAAUUAAGUAGCUUCCCCAUAAAUCCCAAGGGAAUGCUUGCCCGUAGUGAUGACAAUUUAGUGAACAGUUGAAUAAGUUAAUGAAUAAAUUGAUACCAUGUACCAAUGUAUAUAAGUAGUAAGAUGGAUCAUUUAUCCCAAACCCACUAGACUUCCACAUAAUUGUGACUUCAUUUGAAUUUUUUCUUAGGCUUAAUUUAUUAAAGAUUCUUGUGGACCAGGUGCAGUGGCUCAAACCUGUAAUCCCAGCACUUUGGGAGGCCGAGGCGGGUGGAUCACGAGGUCAGGAGAUCGAGACCAUCCUGGCUAACACAGUGAAACCCCGUCUCUACUAAAAAUACUAAAAAUUAGCCAGGCGUGGUGGCGGGCGCCUGUAGUCCCAGCUACUUGGGAGGCUGAGGCAGGAGAAUGGCGUGAACCCGGGAGGCGGAGGUUGCAGUGAGCCGAGAUCACGCCACUGCACUCCAGCCUGGGCGACACAGCAAGACUCUGUCAC